rnacentral:rRNA from 1 species
CCUACGGGAUGCUGCAGUAGGGAAUCUUCCACAAUGGGCGAAAGCCUGAUGGAGCAACGCCGCGUGGGUGAAGAAGGUCUUCGGAUCGUAAAACCCUGUUGUUAGAGAAGAAAGUGCGUGAGAGUAACUGUUCACGUUUCGACGGUAUCUAACCAGAAAGCCACGGCUAACUACGUGCCAGCAGCCGCGGUAAUACGUAGGUGGCAAGCGUUAUCCGGAUUUAUUGGGCGUAAAGGGAACGCAGGCGGUCUUUUAAGUCUGAUGUGAAAGCCUUCGGCUUAACCGGAGUAGUGCAUUGGAAACUGGGAGACGUGAGUGCAGAAGAGGAGAGUGGAACUCCAUGUGUAGCGGUGAAAUGCGUAGAUAUAUGGAAGAACACCAGUGGCGAAAGCGGCUCUCUGGUCUGUAACUGACGCUGAGGUUCGAAAGCGUGGGUAGCAAACAGGAUUAGAUACCCCUGUAGUC